rnacentral:misc_RNA from 1 species
GGGGGGGGUCCCGGUUUUGGGGUCACUCCCCCUCUUUGUCCUCCCCGUGGGUGAUGACGUAGCAGAUGUUCUUAUAGUCCACGUUGCCCGCCACGUCGGGGGGGAAGGCGGCCCACAUGUUCUUGAUCUCCUCGGGGGUGAAGCGGUCGCACUGUGUGGUCAGCAGCUCCUCCAGGAAGCUCUUCUUGAUGGAUCCCUUCCCAUCGGGGUCGAGCACUUUGAAGGCCCCCAUGAUGACGUCUUCGGGGUCAGCGCCCUUGAGCUUCUCCCCAAACAUGGUGAGGAAGACGGUGAAGUUAAUGGGGCCGCUCGCCUCCUUGAUCAUGGCGUCCAACUCCUCGUUCUUCACGUUCAGGCGCCCCAUGGCGGCGAAGGUCUCCCGCAGGUCGUCCUUAUCAAUGAUGCCAUCGCGGUUCUGAUCGAUCACCGUGAACGCCUCUUUGAACUCCUGGAUCUGGGUCUGGUCGAACAUAGAGAAGACAUUGGAGGAGCCCUCGGCUGCGCGGCGCUUCGCCUUCUUGGGGGCCAUAGCGCUGCUCUCAGUGGGGUCGCUGUGGGGCCGCUAUGGGGCUGCUGUGAGGCCGCUAUGGGGCUGCUGUG